rnacentral:rRNA from 1 species
CGCCGCGUGAACGAUGAAGCCCUUCGGGGUGUAAAGUUCUUUCGGCAGGAACGAUAAUGACGGUACCUGAAGAAGAAGCUGCGGCUAACUACGUGC